rnacentral:rRNA from 1 species
UGGGGAAUUUUGGACAAUGGGCGCAAGCCUGAUCCAGCCAUGCCGCGUGCGGGAAGAAGGCCUUCGGGUUGUAAACCGCUUUUGUCGGGGAAGAAAUCUUCUGAGUUAAUACCUCGGGAGGAUGACGGUACCUGAAGAAUAAGCACCGGCUAACUACGUGCCAGCAGCCGCGGUAAUACGUAGGGUGCAAGCGUUAAUCGGAAUUACUGGGCGUAAAGCGUGCGCAGGCGGUUUUGUAAGACAGAGGUGAAAUCCCCGGGCUCAACCUGGGAACUGCCUUUGUGACUGCAAGGCUUGAGUGCGGCAGAGGGGGGAUGGAAUUCCGCGUGUAGCAGUGAAAUGCGUAGAUAUGCGGAGGAACACCGAUGGCGAAGGCAAUCCCCUGGGCCUGCACUGACGCUCAUGCACGAAAGCGUGGGGAGCAAACAGGAUUAGAUACCCUGGUAGUCCACGCCCUAAACGAUGUCAACUGGUUGUUGGGAAGGUUCCUUCUCAGUAACGUAGCUAACGCGUGAGUUGACCGCCUGGGGAGUACGGCCGCAAGGUUG